UCCGUAGGUGACCUGCGGAAGGAUCAUUA
rnacentral:ncRNA from 6 species